GUCCCGACCGGACAUGGAUCGCCAUCUUUCGGGUCCCCGGCCGCCUGCUACACCUGAGUCGGAGCGGGAACGCCGGACGCGAACGUCGCGGCGAACGCGCGGACCCGACCCGGGAACAAUGCUUCGAAGCGCCGGGUGUAAAACAGAUCGGAAGAGCAU